CUCGGGUUGACGAGUCUCAGAUAGGACGAAAUGCGCGUCCUGGAU
rnacentral:hammerhead_ribozyme from 1 species